AUUAGUAUUAUUUUUUAUUUAUUUUUAUUUAUUUUUAUUUUAAAAUCAUGAUAUAAAUUGACAAUGUUUUGUUUACUUUUUUAAAAGAUAUUGAAUAUGAAAUAACUAAUUCCUAAUUGUUAGUGAUAUAUAGGUUAGAAUAUUUCAUAAUAUAAUUGUAGUCAUGACUAACGUCGUAGAGCGUAAAUCACCAUGCGGGCAGACAUAAAGAAGUAUAAUUUAUAUUAUAAGAUAAAAAGUUAUAUUAUAUUAUAUUAUAUACUUACAAACAUGGUCGUGUGUAUAUUCAAAAGCAUAUAAUAUAAUAGGUUUGAUAGUAUGCAAUAACUUUGUAAGUAUAGGAAAUAACAGAAACGUUUUCGUUUGUCAUUAAAGACAAUGCAUUAAACAUCGACGUCAAUGUUUUGUUAGUCAUUGUAACGAAGAAGCUUAUAGUAUAUUAGUAAAGUUAUAAUCUAUUGAUCAAUGGCAAUUAUUGUAAUUAGUUUAGUUAACAAAGGGUUUUUGAAAAUAGGGUGUGAGAGAGCUUGUGGUACUGUCACGUAGAAAAUGACAAUUUUGUAAAUAAUACAUGAGCUAAAAGUUAGCUAUAUAUAAUGUUCCUAGAAUAAUAAAAAAGGAUGGAUAGAGAAGGGUUUACCAAACAGUUUACAAGGUCCAUAAAAGUUUCAACCUUAAAGCAUAAAGUCCAUUAAAAGUAUAUUUCUGACUGUUUCUCUCUCAAUUUACAUUUCAGGAUCAAAGAACUUCAUUUAAGUGGACACCAGCCAGGUACUUAAGUAUUUUAGGUAUGAUUAUACUUUACUUACCUUGUAGGAAUAUUAAAAAAUUGAACUUGUACUCGAUUUGCUAAAAUGAGUACUUGAUAUUUCGAUUCGCUGUUUCGGCGGAAAAUGCGUUUUGAGGUUUUGACGGAAAAAUGUGUUUUUCGGUUUUGUCGGAAAAUACGUUUUGCGGUUUUGUCGGGAAAAAUAUGUUUUUGUGGUUUUGGCAAAAAAAAUGUGUUUUGCUAUUUUGGUGGAAAAAUACGUUUUGUGGUUUGGACGAAAAAUGUGUUUUUGGCGGUUUUAGCGGAAAAAUGUUUUUGUUGUGGUUUUGAAAGAAAAAAUAUGUCCAAACUUGAAUAUAAUAUUUUUUUUAGAAUAAGGGUAAAUUCAUCAUUUGUGCAAACUAGGCCCAUGAAGUAAAUACCUUGUAGAGUUUCAAACGACUGAUUGAAAAAGCUGAAUCCAAACGAUUCCCUUUCCAAUUCCCCGACGACGUUACAAUCUGCAGUUAUGGCAUUCAGGAAACAAACCCCACAAUCACCUUUGUAUCUUCAAUACGUUGUUUUCAGUUUAUAAUAUAAACCUUCCCAGUUGCCUCUCCAAUUUCCUUCCGAUUCAUCUUCACUUUUAAUUACUCUUAGACAAAGCUUUCCCUAAUGAGAAUUUCGCAGCCUCAAUUAUCCUGAAGGCAGGCAGCCCGGAAUGUCAAAAAAUGAGGUCAAUUGAUGGGCGUCCAUAUGCUGCUGCUAGAUUCCAAGGUAUGUGAGCUUACACCUCCAGUCACGGGCAUAUUAAAAUUUACUCUCUGCUCCAGUUGCAACCAAAGGCAUAAGCGUCAACGAACUUGUGACAUGGAUGGUUUUUGGAGAGGUACCAAAGCGUUGUUGGUUGGAUUCUUAGGGAUGGGAAGGGAGAAAUGAAGUGUCUUAGAGAAGCCUCAUCUAUUUUGAGGUCCUUUACUGUCUUGUGAGAUGAAGCAGAAGCAUUGAUAUGGAGUGUUAUUUGUAUACUUGGGCUAUAAGAAAUUCUGAAUUUUACCACCUUGGCUCUGACCAAUCUGAAGUUAGGGGUGGUCAGCUGUUUCAAGGAAAGUGACGUCUCAUAGUUCAAUUUAUACUUUUGUUUGCUUAGCGUGUGGUAUAAAUAUUGAUGAAUAGCGGAAGAAAAAAGAGAUUUUAGUAAGCAUCGCAGAUGGAUUCUGUUAAUGGUGUGAGUUUCGAGUUCGGCGAAGCAAAUGGUUUACUCUAAAAGUUUGCGGGAGAAAAGCCUAUGUAAAAGUCAGUGGAAUCUCUUGAAGCAGAACUGAAGAAUGUGAAGAAAUAGCACAGUGGAGCUGAAAUCGAAUAAAUGGGUAGAGAUCUCCAUCCGGAGCGUAGCAAAAGUGAGACUGACCUAGAACAAUGUGUGGCAGAAAAAUCUGAAGCAAACGCCGCUUACGAAGUUAUCUUCGAGAUAGAAGCUGCUCGACGAGAAGUUGAGCUACAUUUUGAGGGUCGCACUAGAUAAAGUCGAGGAAGCAAAAGCUGCCGCGGUAUGUGCUUGACCACAUAAAGUCAAUGUCUGAAAAUUCAACAGUUGCCCGAAUUUGUAAUACCGCGCCAUCUGAGUGUGGAGCUAAGAGCAUCACACUAUGUCUGGAGGAUUUUAAGUCGCUGAGCGAAGGAGCUAAGCAAUUCGAUAAGUUGGUGAAUAUGAAAGUGGCAGCUGCGCUGGCUCAGGUAGGCGCAGUUAGAGCUAGCGAAAUCAAGACACUGAGGCACACAAGAGGAGAUUGAGAAGCUAAAGACUGCAACAGAAGACACACUGGAUAAAGCACCCAGGGCUGAUGCUGCUGAGUAUGCAGUUGAAGGAGAACUCAGGAGGUGUCAGGUAAGAUAUCUUAAUAAAGCACAGAGGAAGCAGCUUCGAGGAUUAUUGCAAAGGCUGAGGCGAUGAUUCCGCUGAAUCUUCACCGCAAAGUCACUACAAAGCUACGAAACGUAAACAUAUCCACACAAACUCGAGAAGACAAAAACUUUUGUGGUAUAUAAAAGUGGUUUUACCGAAUUUAAGUGUAAUAGUUAAUAGAAAUAAGAAUCAAGUGGAAUGGGGUUCUCCUUAUCUCUAUGGAGAGAAAUCCUUUUUGAUGUAUACUUUCUUUUUAAGAGUUGAGAACUUUCGUUGUGGUGAACUUUUCGUUGAUGUAUAUGUUUGGUCUUUAAUGUGAAAACUGGUUUAUUGCUGUAAA